GAAAUGCGAUAAGUAGUGUGAAUUGCAGAAUUCAGUGAAUCAUCGAAUCUUUGAACGCACAUUGCGCCCUUUGGUAUUCCUUAGGGCAUGCCUGUUCGAGCGUCAUUUGUAACCUCAAGCUCAGCUUGGUGUUGGGUGUCUGUCCCCGCCCCGCGCGGGGACUCGCCUCAAAAACAUUGGCGGCCGGUACGUUGGCUUCGAGCGCAGCAGAAACGCGAACUCGAGGCCCGACGAAUCGGCGACCAGAAGUCACUUCUUCCACAGCUUGACCUCGGAUCAGGUAGGGAUUCCCGCUGAACUUAAGC
rnacentral:misc_RNA from 1 species